AACGGCCGUACCAUGCUGAAUAUACCGGUUCUCGUUAGAUCACCGAAGUCAAGCAUCAUUGAGCGCGGUCAGUACUUGGGUGGGUGACCACCUGGGAACACCGCGUGUCGUU
rnacentral:rRNA from 1 species